rnacentral:rRNA from 1 species
GACGAACGCUGGCGGCGUGCUUAACACAUGCAAGUGGAGCGACGAACCAGGCUUCGGCCUGGGGCAAAGCCGCGAACGGGUGAGUAACACGUGGGUAACCUGCCCUGAUGACCGGGACAACCCGAGGAAACUCGGGCUAAUACCGGAUGUGCUCCCAUCACACCAGUGAUGUGAGUAAAGAUAGCUUCGGCCUUCGCAUCGGGAUGGGCCCGCGGCGCAUUAGCUAGNGGUGGGGUAAAGCCUACCAAGGCAACGAUCCAUAGCUGGUUUGAGAGAACGACCAGCCACACUGGGACUGAGACACGGCCCAGACUCCUACGGGAGGCAGCAGUGGGGAAUCUUGGACAAUGGGGGCAACCCUGAUCCAGCCAUGCCGCGUGAGUGAUGAAGGCC